GGAUGACAGCCAUGCAGACCAAUUUGAUGCAGUGUGCUGCGUAUGGUCUGAGCACUGACAGGCUGACCCUCCACCCCUUCAACCUCUGCAGCAAUGCUGGCAGCACUCAUACGUCUAUUUCCCAAAAGACAACCUCUGGAUAUGAUGCUGAGCACGUGCACUCAACUUCUUUGGUCGACCAUGCAAGGCCUAUUCUCUGUGGGCCCUGUCCUGUGAAACCACUUUAUGGUCUUACCCACUGGCUCAGUUUCAGGGCCUUGGCAAUCUUCUUAUAGCCUUGGCCAUCUUUAUGUAGAGCAACCAUUUUUUUUCACAUCCUCAAAGAGUUCUUUGCCAUGAGGUGCCAUGUUGAACUUCCAGUGAGCAUUAUGAGAGAGCGUGAGAGCGAUAACACCAAAUUCAC